CGAGUUCCCAAGUUCAUAUUUACCCUCACAAUCUUCUGGCGCGAAAACCGAGUUCUCUGCUCGCCGAGUUCCUGAUCUCAUUUAAAGCAUAUUUCCCCUUCCUUCCACCCUGAGCAGGAAGGAUGUGUCCAUCUGGAGAAGAAUGGUGGAGGAGGCACCUCCAGCGAAGCGCCACCACCGGCGGCUUGGAACAAACACAUCUGGGCCCGCCUGCAGGCCCCCCAGUGUUCCCGCUACAGCUGCGCUAAAAAGAGACGGCGGGGGGGGAGGAGACGGGAGGGGAAGGCUUGGAGAUCGCUGAUCGUCACGGCCUUUUCCCUAAAAAUUCACGCCAGAUGGCAAUAAGCAACUCCACGUGUGAUUUAUGGACACGCAAUCCAAUUCGAGCCUUUCAGCGCGUUGCACAAGACCCCCAUAUAAUUGCGUGGAAAGCACACACACUUUAUGGCUGACACACACUCUGCCGCUCACACGCAACUUGCCCUCACGCUGCGCCGUGUGCCGCACAUGGUCGCCUGUGGGAAGCGAUCUGGUUGUCGUUUGGGCCUCCGCGUGUAUUUCUGUCUCUGCUGUUUACACGCUCGGCGCCAUAAAUCAGUCCGAAGCGCUUCAGCUUCGUGGAUCCUCGAGUCUUUUCCUUUUCCCGCAUCCUGGACUACAGCAGGACUUCCUUUUGUCUGUCCAGACCUUUUUUUAUUUUAGUAACAGAAGUUUAGAUUUUUUUUUUUUUCUUAUCGAAAAUGUACCAAAAUAGAAAACCUCUAAAUGCAAAGUGUGGGUUUAUGGGGUUUCUCCAAUGUUUUUAAGAAUUGCCUUAAUAAUUCAAUAUGUAAUUGUACAACUAACAGAAAUCUGUCUGUUUUCAUUUUGAGCUGCAUUUAUUUUUUUUACAUUACAUUCAGUCCAGAGAGACAAUUAUCAGAAGAAUUUUGUUUAUCGCUUGACUCUAUGAGUCAUUCAGACGUUUAUAAGCAAACUCGAAGCUAUUAUUUCCACAUGUACAGAUAAGCCCAAAAACAUUCAUCUGCAUCACAGAUUUAGAAAUCCUCUUAAUUCAACCACUUAGUUUGUUUCUGAAAGGAAAUGAGACAAACGUCUCUCAAUAGAUAAUGAAACAGUUUAAAUCAAGUUUUGAAAUAAAUAGUUUGCCAGCAGUUAGUGACAUUUCAUGGCACAAUCAAGUGACUAGUUUACCUCCAGUUAUUAUAAAAAUACUGUAUAUAUUGAACAUAACUUUAAAGAAAGUUGAUUUAACACCUUAACAUUGUCACUCUGUCUCUUUAAGAAGCUCCUGCGCUUUCAGAGACUCCGCCUUCAGCACGUCAUCACAUCAACAUUCCUCCAUCAUGCCGUUUACAAUCGUUCUAGGAGCGCUCUUAGUGUCAGGAUUGGGUUUUUUCUGUGUUGAUUUGAGUUUUUCUGUGUGUUCAUUUUGGAUUUCUGUGUCUUGAGUCUCCGUGUUGUCCUGUUUACCCCUUGAUUGUUCCCAGGUGUUUCUCGUUCUGUGAUUACCCUCAGUGUAUUUAAUGCCACCUGUGUUUCUGUGUCUUUGUCGGGUCCUUGUCGAAUGUGUCGUACCAGUCUGUCGUUUUCUGUUUAGCUGUCCCUUUGUUUACCUGUUGCUACCAGUGUUAGACUAAGGACAGUUCUAGAGACAGAUCUUUUACUCCUCGUUUCACUUGGAUUAAUGGACAUUUUUGAAGAGGUGGAGUGGAACAGACAAGCUGCAUUUGCUCAAGUAUUAAAUAGGCCCACUCCACCUCGACCACAACUCACCAUUUUACAGAAGUUCAUCCAUUCCUCUCCGCCUGGUAGCAUGGUCUGCCCCAGUUAGUGGGUUAUCUGCCCCAGUUAGUGGGUUAUCUGCCCCAGUUAGUGGGUUAUCCGCCCCAGUUAGUGGGUUAUCCGUUAUGCCUAAGAACCUUUUGGCAACAAAAGUUGAAUUUGUCGCAAACUUUUAAAAUAACCCAUUGCUGUUCAUUUGUGUUUCAUUCCCUCAAGAUGUUUAAGUCACACAUUUUAUUAGAACAUCUUUCUUAUCCUGGACGGUGGCUCCAUUUCCAGGGCCUCGAGUUCAAAGCCAUAGAUUCAAUGUUUCAAAGUGUUGCUGUAAUCUCUUUUUCUGCGUAGUAAACCAUCUGCUAGUGGAUUAUGUCCUAUUUUUAAGGCAACACUCUGCUCUCCAGACAUCGCUUGAUGGCAACUCGUUUGAAAGGUCUGAUUCUAGGUGUCGGCGGGACAAGAAUAGGACGUCUUCAUCAUCACAAUGACCACAACUGUUGCCCUCGAGGCAGCUGUCAGCAACCCUGAGAGGAAAUGAGGGGAUCGGAAGGCACAAAAUGACAAAUUAUAUUCUAUAAAUGUUCAAACUCUAACUGGAUGUCACCUGUCUGAUGAGGAAAUAAGGUUGAACAAACACUAGAGACAGACUCCUGUCUGCAGAAUACAUCAUGUGGCUGCAGACAGGACAAGGUUAUCAACACGUGUUGGUUUUUUUUGUUUGUUUUUACUAUUGUCACUCUGUCUCUGUGUACAGUGCAGAGAUGAUGUUAUUUCCUUCUUAUCUCUGUCCUUCCUAUUCUCCACUCCUUUUCAUUACGGCUCACUCAUUUGCAGAGAGGAUUGACCCUUGUCUUCCAUAAAGUUUAUUGCUGUAAUGAGGAGCGCAAACAGUUUCUGAACAAUGAGAGAAAACAGGACAGCGGGACCUGGUUUCGGACAAGCUUUACCUGUUUCUGUCUUACGAAAAAAACAUAUCUAUAAAAAUAUAAAUGGCCUGUCCUUUUGAUGAUAACGUUUGCUGCGGUUUAUGUGUCAAACAUCUGAAUUAAAGAUGAGCCAGACAGUCAUGUGUUGCUGGACGCUGGUGAAUCGUUGUAAGGCUGUCAUGUGUAGCAAACACUUUGACUAAUAAUUACCAGAUAUGGUCCAGAUGGAUCAUUAAGAUCAUCAAAAUGGUAAUCUAAUGGUGGUAAACAAUGUGCUUUUAUCACGGCAUCAAGUUGUUUUUAUUUGUGUUAAAUAAGAAGUUUCCAGUCAUUUUACUGCUACUUUUAAUUUCCCAUUAGUUACGUUGUAUUUCGAUACUUAAAUCUUUUUUCUUCUUCUACUAAUUUUUUCAGAUUGUUUUUCUGUACCAUACUUUAAAAACAUCAAAAUUAGAAAUAACAGCAAACUGACUGAACUUAUGCAGCACUUUUCAAGUCAUACCGACUCAAAUAGCCACACGGACAAAGCUGCACUUAAAAACAACUUUAUGAACCAAAAUGCGGACUGGCAAACUUGGGGUACAUUGCCUUGCUCGAGGGCACGUCUAGAAGCGACGGGGGAGGAGUCUGCAAUCAAACUCAGCAGGCAGCAGGAGACACUGAACCGGAUCGAGGCUGCAGGUCCGGAUGGUAUCUGUGCAGAGCAGCUCUGUGGGAUUCUGCAGCACCUCUACAACCGUAGCUUGACCCAAGAGAAGACAUCCUGCCUUGUUCUGGUAGCAAAGAAAACUCGUCCUUUAGCCAAGAACGACUGUAGAUCUGUUCCCCUGAUAUCCCACAUUAAGGGAGGCUCCUGUUGGCCCGCCUGAGAAAGCAAACCAGCACAUAUCAGGACCCCCUGUAGUUUGCUUAUUGCCAUGGAGGUGGAGUUGAAGUCACCAUCAGUCACCUGCUUCAACAAACCCACUGUCUGAUUUGCUUUGUCAGGAACUCCAGAAGACAAAGGUGGAGGCCUCAACAAUCGCCUGGGUCCAUGACGACCCGACAAAGAGAGCGCAGUUCUUGAUACCGAAAGGUUGCUUAGCACAGGGGCACCACAGGGCUCUGUACUCUGAUUGUUCUUUUACAAUCUCUACAUCUCUGACUUGCGGAGCAAAGCAGACUCCUGUCAUUUGCUUAAAUACUCAGAUAACUCAGCAGUUGUCGGGUACGUCAGAGAUGGUCGCGAAGCUGAUUACUGAGAACUUUGUGGGACGGCGUGGAAACGGUCGUCUCAUCUUGAAUGUGAACAACACAAAGGAGAUGACUGUACAUUUCAAAAGAAACGGGGUUAAGUCAAAGACAGUUUCCAUUAUGGUAGAAGUCGUGGAGGUGGUUGAGGAAUACAAACACCCUCAGUGUUCAUCUGGACAACAGACUGGAAUAGAGACCCAUCAGUGAAACUGUCUAAAGAAAGGACAGAGCAAACUGCACUCCUUCAGGAAACAUAGCUCCUUUUCUGUUGGCAGAAAGUUGCUGCAGAUCUUUUAUAAAUCUGUUGCUGAGAGUGUCUUCUCUUUCCAUCUUGGGGUAGUGACAUCAGAACCAAGGACUUAAGACCAACCAAUUUGUUAAAGAACACUGGUUCUGCUCUGGGGACUCAGGAGAUGAUGGUGCGUAGAAAGAUUCUUCAUAAAAAUCAAGAAAAAUACAGACUACCCUGAGCAUCCUCUUUGUGAGACUGUCACACAGCAACAGUGUCUUCAGUCAAAGGCUUCUUCACAUCCGAUGUGAUAGUGACUGCUACAGGGGAUCCUUCAAACACUCGUCGUGGCGCCCUGACAAACAUCUACACUUUUCUGCAGAUGACUGUCGACAGUAUUGAUGUGGACGGUACAAAAAGUCCAGAAGUUUUGGAGCAAUGAGCAAAGUUCUGUUGUACCUGUUGAACUUGGAAGGUACUGAAAUGUCGUCACUUUUGUUUUGCUCAACGAUGGCCACAAACCUCUUAAAGGUUUUCUUUUUCUUUCACAAUUAGCUUUCUUAAGCUGCAUAUUUUGUAGAUCUUAAUCCAUCAUAUAAUUAAAGGUAAGAAAAUUAAAUCUGACUCUUUUUAUCGAAACAAAAACACCUUACUCUUUGGUUUUUCUUUACGUCUUUAUAGUCUUUUGAAUAAAAGCCAAUGCGACUACACAUUGAUUUGAUUUAGGCUUCAAGGAGGCCAAUGUUUGCAGAGAUAAUUCAUGCACUUGACUUUCUGUAAUGCAUCUGACGGGUGUAGUAGUGUUCUGCAUGAAUUUAAGUUUCCACGUCUUGUGUAUUUUAUGAAGAAUAAAGCAUUUUUGCGGCAUA